rfam:Macaca mulatta chromosome X, whole genome shotgun sequence.
GCAGUGCUCUACUGAGAAAUGUGCAGUUGCCUAGAUUAUAUGUCACUAGUUCCUUUCCAGGUAGAGUGAGGCA